ACAUUACACACAAAAAAGCAAGCAUGGCAGAAAUCACCACGUCCAGUCUGAUCGCCAGCUGGGAACAAAGUCAUGUUAAGAUGCUGAUACAGUGAGCACUGAGGAAAAACAAAUCUGCCAAAGUUUGCAAGCAAGAGAUUGGAAGCAUCACCUCAUAUCUGCUCUAUCAGGGGACUCUUUUCAAAAAGACUGACUGACAUUAAGAAACUCAAGAGAGCCUCAUGUGGAGCAGCAGAUAAACUGGGUCAAAAAUGUUGACAUGAAAUGUGGAGAUCAGAACUGGGGCUUUAAACUCCGGAUCAAGAUACAACCAUCAAAGCUGAGGAUCCUGCUUGUCCUUUUUCAGAAAAGGGCUCUUUAAAAUAGGCGAAAAAAGACAUGAGAACGAGAUGAUUUUGGGUUAGCGUUAAAAUUUUAAACUUUGAUGAAUAGUAAUGUGAUGAUUAGGCCUGCGUGUUUACAUUAUGCCAUC